CCCUUCGAUGUUCGGAGCUGCACGCGCGCUACACUGUGGGUGGUAGCAUGUUAGCUUGCCUCGCUCGCAAGAGUGGGGUAAUCGUUUGAAAAUCCCACGUGAUUGGGAUAGGGACUUGUAAUUAUUUCCCUUGAACGAGGAAUCCCUAGUAAGUGCAGGUCAUCAGCUUGCGCUGAUUACGUCCCUGCCCUUUGUACACACCGCCCGUCGUUCCUACCGAUUGGGUGCUCCGGUGAAUUGUUUGGACUGCUGUCAGUCUUUUUGGCUGUCGGCGAGAAGCUCUGUGAACCUUAGCACCUAGAGGAAGGAGAAGUCGUANCA
rnacentral:rRNA from 1 species